UUUUCCUCGGUGUCCUCUAAAGCAUUAAUUUGCUGCCUUGGAUGACUUUCUAAGGCACAUAAUUGGACCAUCCGCAGGAGCUAAUCAGCUAUCACAAAAAUUCGUGCCUAGGAGUAUCAGAGGGACAAGCCCAUGGCAAAGCAUGCAUUUAAGAAAUCCAACUCCUUUACUUUUUAUAAUUUAAAACAAAACAACAAACAAACAAACAGAAAUACCCGCAGCAGUUAAAAUUAUCUGAGCUUUAAAAUUAUCUGUUAAAAUUAUCUGAACUUUACCAUUUCCAAAAGGCUUUACCUUAGGCUUGAGGGUGGCAGUAAAAAUGAGCAGAGCAGCGAUCGAUCCCUUUCCCCCCGCCCCCAGACUCUGAAGGGGAGCGGCGCAGCCCCGGGUGUGCUCCAGGCGGCGCCGCUGCCCCGCGGAUGGCGCUCGGCACUCCGCUGCUCCACGCGGCGCUCCCGCAGCGGGAGAGUUAACGGCGCCGUGCGGCGGUCUGCGGACUCUCGGCUUUCUGCACGUUACGGCAUACAGGCCCCCAGUACAUUUGAUUUCUUACCCUAUAAUGCCAGGAGCUUGAAAAGAUGCACUCUAAAAUCCGUACUUCUCGAGAAUCGGUUUUCCGAUGUAUUAUAUAGCUCUUCUGUCCUCACAUCGCUCAUGCUUGCUCUAAUGUAAAAGGUAGAAUUAAAUUGAAGGCACUUAUUGUAGCCACUUCUAUAGUGUGCAUUAAAAUGGUGCAAACUUUUCUCAAAUAGCAGGACAAAGAUUGAAACUGGCUUUGCCUGCUGAUUUAUUUAUAUCUUAGGGGUUUUGUGUGCCUUUUUAACUGUUUGUUUUUCUCCACAGCAUGGAGUGCACUGUGGAUUUGGAGGCGAGUACAAAACAGUAUCUCCUUCUGUAAGGGCAUUUAAGUUAAACAAUAACAGUUUCCACCUCCUGUGUUCAACUGAGCAUUCACGUGCCAGCAUUAUAUGAAGCCCUAAAUGUAGAAAUGGAUGCCUGGGGAAAACAUAUGCCGUAUAUACCGUGCACAGACAGUAAGGUGCUGGAACACUGGGAAUGCAAGAGGUUCCCAUUUGAAGUGUAGGAAGUAUGCAGUAAGAAAAGAGAAGAGAAAUGAGAUUGACCUAGUGAGUGGCAACCCUGCC